UUAUUUUAGUUGAAGACAGUCAUCAAGUUCGUGAUUUACGGAAAGUGAGAAUAUUUUUUUUUCUAACGCAAAAUUUGAUUUUGCUAUAGAAUUUGUGGCUAAAGAACUUCUUCGCUUUACUUGCCGCUAAGCAAAUUUCACAAGAAAUUUGACUCCAUUUUCAGAUAAACCAGUGGUCCUUAUUGCAUUUGCAAUUGCAAUUUUAUAAAAUGAUGAAGUCAUCAACAAAGGGUUUAUUGAUUUGCCUGUUGAUCGGGUUGUUCACGGGAGCAUAUUGUCAAGAUGCAGCUGUGGCAAAUACCAAUGGUUCUAGUGUUCCAGUAGUUCCGACAAAAGAUGAGGCUCCACCAGCAAUUGUUAAACCGGAUUCUGAUACAAAUGCAGUUCCACCAGUUACAACAGCACCACCUACAGCUUCAAACACUGUUACAACAAAAUUACCAGAUCCAACUACUACAGUUAAGCCUGAAGCUGAUACUUCACCUACUACUACCACAACCGACAAACCUACAAUUACCCCUUCUACAGUAAAACCCGACAAUACUACUGUUAAACCUGAUAAUACAACUACGAUUCCCACUACUACAAUAAAACCUGAUACUACUACAACUACAACUACUACGGUUAAACCAACUCCAAUUCCAACUACUACAACAGUUAAACCUGAUCCUACCACUUCUACUGUGAAACCCAACUCAACUACUACAAUAAAGCCUGAUACAACAACAACAGCACCAGAGCCACCACCAUGUCAUCGUUUUGACAGCUCUUCAUUUAUCGGGGGUAUCGUUUUGACUUUAGGUCUAUUGGCCAUUGGUUUAGUUGCCUACAAAUUUUAUAAGGCACACAACGAACGUAAUUACCACACCCUUUGAGCCGCCAAUGCUUUUACUUCGGCAUUCAAUGCAGCAGCUAGUGAAACGUCGGGGGUGAAUGAUAAUGGUGCCGAGUGCAUACGUUUUAUGCAACCGUCAUUUCCAUUGCGUUCACCUCCACCUCAACCACCGCCGACACAGUCAUCACCAACAGCAAGACAACGGCUGCUGCAUACGUAAUCCAAAAUAUAAAUGAAUGCAAGCAAGUAAAUUAAAAAAGUAAAAAUUUAAAAAAAAAAUAUAUAAAAAUAGAAAAACU